UACGAAGGGGGCUAGCGUUGCUCGGAAUCACUGGGCGUAAAGCGCACGUAGGCGGAUCGUUAAGUCGGGGGUGAAAUCCUGGAGCUCAACUCCAGAACUGCCUUCGAUACUGAGGAUCUCGAGUCGGGAGAGGUGAGUGGAACUGCGAGUGUAGAGGUGAAAUUCGUAGAUAUUCGCAAGAACACCAGUGGCGAAGGCGGCUCACUGGCCCGACUGACUGCGUGAA
rnacentral:rRNA from 1 species